CUCUGUGACAGACCUGGAGCCAUUACUAUCUGCUGCUAAGGUUUCAACCACAGAAGAAAAAAGUUUCUUCAUCCUUUCUGUGAUUGUGGCAGCCAAGAUUGAAUAGAGGAAUACAGGG
rnacentral:snoRNA from 1 species